GGUGUGCCCAGGUGUGCCCAGGUGGGGCUGGGCGGGGCUCCAGGUGGGCUUUGGUGGUCCUGGAGAAGGUCCAGGUGGGUCUAGGUGUGUCCAGGUGGGGCUGGGUGGGGCUCCAGGUGGGCUUUGGUGGCACUGGAGAUGGUCCAGGUGGGUUCAGGUGUGUCCAGGUGGGGCUGGGUGGCCACCUGGGAGGUUCCUGGAGGAGGUGGAGACCCCAAAUGCAGAUCCAGGUGAGCUUUGGUGGCCCUGGAGAAGAUCCAGGUGGGUCUAGGUGACGUUAGGGGCUCCUAGAGAAGGUCCAGGUGUGCCCAGGUGCCCUUGGGUGGCCCUGGAGGAGCUCCAGGUGGGUCUAGGUGCACUU